GUAUCGGCCAAAAACUUCAAAAAAAGAACUUUUUUGGCUGAUUGGAUCGAUACUGGCCGGUAUCAUCGCAUCGGUUUUGGAAUUGAUGAUCCACACCCACUUGUCUUCGUGUUUUAGCUUUCUUAUCUUGAGGAGAACGUAUCAGAAACACCAAAUGGGUCUUAGACUCCAUGGAUUCCCCUAUCUCUAAUCUCCACUUGUUAAUUCCUUAUUUGUUUUCUUCUUGUUAUCCUUAAUUCCUUCCUAUGACUUUUUCUUCUUCUUUUUUAUUUAUUUUUCCCUCUAAGAUCAUAACUCAUAAUAUUCUCUUCCACACCAACCCAUCUCUAGUUUCCAAUCUCUGAAAUUCUGAAACGCCACCGAAGUGGAGCUUACUUCUAUGAUUCCUAAGACCGAGAAAGAACAACUCAGUUUGGGAACGUUCUUCUAAAGGAGGAAAUUUGGACAUUGAACUACAGGAGUUUUGAGCUUUACCUUCAGUGUUAGAGGAGAGAGAUGGAUCGAUACGACCACUCACCAAAAAAACCACCCAACAUGCGACCCCUGCCCAGAGACCCACGUGACUCCCUCGAAGUAUUCAAUCCAUCAGCCAGCUAUGUUUCCAAUUCCAAACCUACCCACUCGACCUUCCGUCCCCACUCCACGUGGCAAAACUGGGGUGACCCACUUGGCAUUAAGGAAACCGAAGCAUCACCGAAGCUCCCCAUCCCCUCCGGCACUGGCGGUGUCGGGACGGCAGUACCGGACCAGGAGAUCACCCCAUGGAUGGCCCUCAAGGAUCCAACCCGACCACCACUGUCACUACCUCCUCUUGCAACAGAGAAACCAACGUCCGAUGAAUUUGGUGCCGCAGCUCAGAGAGCGGCGGAAUGGGGACUGGUACUGAAGACUGACACGGAAACCGGGAAACCACAUGGGGUUACAGUCAGGACUUCCGGAGGGGAAGACGCAUAUCAGAAAGCCGAGUCGUCUCGGAGAGACUCGGGAAACUCAGUCCCCCGGAGCUCGGACGAGUUUUCUGAUGGUGGGGAUGUGAUAGACAGAGGGAUCCCGAGAGUGUCGAAGGAUUUGAAAGACGCGUUGUCUACGUUUCAACAGACGUUUGUUGUUUCGGACGCUACCAAACCCGAUUACCCGAUUUUGUAUGCCAGUGAAGGGUUUUUCAAGAUGACCGGUUAUACCUCUAGAGAAGUCGUCGGCCGUAACUGUCGGUUUCUGCAAGGUGUGGGAACGGAUCCUGAAGACGUACAUAAGAUAAAAGAAGCGUUGGAGAGUGGAAGGAGCUACUGUGGACGCUUGUUGAACUACAAGAAGGACGGGACGCCUUUCUGGAACCUUCUCACUAUUUCUCCCAUCAAGGAUGAUACCGGAAAGGUUCUCAAAUUCAUCGGAAUGCAAAUGGAGGUGAGCAAGCAUACGGAAGGAGUUAAGGAUAAGAUGCUUCGUCCCAAUGGAUUGCCAGAAUCCUUGAUCAGAUACGAUGCCCGGCAGAAGGAAAUGGCAGUUAGUUCUGUAACAGAGCUCGUAGAUGCAGUGAAGCAGCCUCGCCGUCUAUCUAUAUCAAUAACAACAAACCGAGUGCCAUUGACAAGGAAGUCCGAAGAUGGUGGUGGAAGAGCACGUAGAAACUCAGAAGAUGGAGCUAAUACAGCUAUGGUGGCUCCACCAAGAAGGCAUUCACAUAGCGGCGGUAGUAUUAAACCGAGAAGAAGUUCCAUGGAGCGUAUCAGUGAAACUCCUGAAACGAAACCCAAAAGAUCUGUUCGACGUUCUUUUAUGGGGUUCAUAAGGAAAAGUACUCAUACUAAUGUGGAAAACCUGGAAGAAAACCUGGACGUGGAAGUUGGCUCAGAUGAUGAUGAAAGCAGUGAAGAUGAGAGACCUUAUAGUGUUGAUGACAAAGAAAGAAAGAAAGAAAUGAGAAAGGGGAUUGAUCUUGCUACCACUCUUGAACGAAUUGAGAAGAACUUUGUCAUUACUGAUCCAAGAUUACCUGAUAAUCCAAUUAUAUUUGCAUCAGAUAGCUUCCUGGAGUUGACAGAGUACAGCCGUGAAGAGAUAUUGGGAAGAAACUGCAGAUUUCUCCAAGGCCCCGAAACUGAUCCGGCCACUGUGAAGAAAAUCAGAGAAGCUAUUGAUAACCAAAGGGAUGUCACUGUGCAGCUCAUCAACUACACAAAAACUGGCAAGAAGUUCUGGAAUCUGUUUCAUCUGCAGCCCAUGCGAGAUCAGAAGGGAGAAGUGCAGUAUUUUAUCGGGGUACAACUUGAUGGCAGUGAACAUGUUGAGCCGCUACACAACUGCAUUCCAGAGUCUACUGCAAAAGAGAGUGCACAAUUGGUGAAAGAGACUGCAGUAAAUGUUGAUGAAGCAGUGAGGGAACUUCCAGACGCUAACAUGAAACCAGAGGAUCUGUGGAUGAAACAUUCAAAGACAGUUCUCCCAAAGCCUCAUAGGAAGGACAGCUCAUCAUGGAGAGCUAUUCAAAAGGUUGCUUUUAUGAUGAUGCAGAUUCUACAUAGUGGAGAAGAGAUAGGCUUAAAACAUUUCAGGCCAGUAAAACCAUUGGGAUCUGGUGACACAGGCAGUGUGCAUUUGGUGGAAUUGUGUGGAACCGGUGAAUACUUUGCAAUGAAGGCUAUGGAUAAGGGUAUUAUGCUUAACCGCAACAAGGUCCAUAGAGCUUGUGCUGAAAGAGAAAUUCUUGACAUGCUGGAUCACCCUUUUCUUCCUGCAUUAUAUGCUUCUUUUCAGACGAAAACCCAUGUUUGUCUGGUAACUGAUUACUUCCCCGGUGGAGAGCUCUUUUUGCUUUUGGAUCGGCAACCCAUGAAAGUCCUUAGGGAAAACGCAGUAAGAUUCUAUGCUGCAGAAGUAGUUGUUGCUCUAGAGUACCUUCACUGUCAAGGUAUAAUCUACAGAGAUUUGAAACCUGAGAAUGUCUUACUCCAGAGCAACGGCCAUGUAUCGUUGACAGAUUUUGAUCUAUCAUGUUUGACAUCUUGCAAACCUCUGCUUUUGAUUCCAAACAUCCAGGAUAAGAAAAAACAAAAGAAAGGCCAACAACCUCCAAUCUUUAUGGCGGAGCCAAUGAGAGCAUCAAAUUCUUUUGUUGGAACUGAGGAGUACAUAGCACCGGAGAUUAUAAGUGGAGCUGGCCAUACUAGUGCAGUUGAUUGGUGGGCUCUUGGAAUUCUUCUUUAUGAAAUGCUUUAUGGAUAUACACCAUUUAGAGGAAAGACAAGGCAGAAAACUUUUGUCAAUAUUCUUCACAGAGACCUUAAAUUUCCAGGAAGUAUUUCAGUAAGUCUCCAUGCAAGGCAGUUGAUGUACCAGCUAUUGCAAAGAGACCCCAACAGAAGAUUGGGUUCACAUGAAGGAGCAAAUGAAAUAAAGCAACACCCAUUCUUCCGUGGUGUAAACUGGGCUUUGGUUCGCUGCAUGGUACUUAUCAGUGUACUUGAGUCCUCCUCAACUUGAUGCUCCCCUUUUUGGGACAAAUGAUGCUGAAAAGGAAGUUAACUUUCUCGAUCCUGAACUUCUGGAUCUACAAACAAAUGUUUUCUAAGAGAUGGCAAAAUUCAGAAAACAUCUUCUGUUGUGGAACAUAAGGAUUUGGACAGCAAUCCAUCUUCUGAGGAAUCACAUCAAGUACCCUUCGGAUUUGUAUACUUUAAUGGAGUUUGGUAACUCUGAUUAGAUUAGGAAAAUGCAGCAUCUUCGUUGUUUUGCCAUUUGAAGUGUUCAUCCUAUGUUGAGUGCUACCUGAAUGUCUUGGUAAUAAAAUUGUUUGUAUUCCUCAGUC